GGUGCACGUGUGGGAACUGUAACAGAAUGCCCACUGAGUCUGAAAACCUGUGCUGUCAAGAAGUACGACAGGUUAUAAGAAGAAUCCAACAAAUUCCAGUGCCUCCAACAUGUAUGAUUGACCACCCAGGCUUUGAAGCCAACUGCCUUAAUCCAUAUACCCUCCAGAAUAUUCAUAAUAUAUAUAGAAGCGACUAUGGUCCAUUAAGGCGCCGAACAAGAGAGGAGCAAUUCCGUCAUUUGGCAUAUCGGAGCUUUGUUAGCUGGUGCUGGGGCUUCUUAGGUCGACAUGUCCGUGUGGUCAUUCCUUCCUGUGUUGUAUCCCGGAUACGCCAGGAGUUUCCAGAUCUGGCUGGUCACUACGUCG